CAAUAUGCAGUUUGAUCAUUCCUGCUGCAAAUAGUAUACAUACUGUGAUUCUAUAUUGCAGAAAAGGUGUUAGAUGAUCGAUAUGUGCUAUAAUCUAAUAUAAGCCCCCCUCCAGUGUGGAGAGCAUAAUAACAUGAAUGUAGAGGGAAAGAAGUGUUUCCAAGGGCACAUAAUGCUUCUAGUACACAAAAAUAGGGUGAUCUGUGCCACUUUUGCUGCUAUCAAUUGCACAAAGUAGAUCACAUACAACACGUCCACCAACAGUACAUGCAAUUUUAUAGUUUGCGCACACAGAUAAGUGUGUGGGAAUUGGAUCCUCAAAGAUCAGGCUCUUAAUAUUUUCAGAAAAUGGGAGUAUUAUUAGAAUCAGACCUGCAGCUGGCUCUGUAUUGUUCUUUUUCCUCCUGCCUAACGUGGAUUUCAGUUCUUGCUGAGGUGUGUUUGCUGAUCUUCUUCUGGGUGUGGCUUCUUCUUGAGUUCCAUUUUCUUCUUCCUUUGCUGCUUUUGUGGGCUUUUUGGCUGCUUUUUUCUUCACUGUGCUGUCAGAGUUGUGUUUCCUGGACACCUGAAGUACAGCCACAAUGGGGUUAGAUUUCUAUGUGCUGGUGGUGAUUACCUACUGAAUAUACCUUUUUCUUGCGGGGGUAAUCAUGGUCUGCAUCUGUAUCUUUUCUCUUUUUGGCCUUUGGAGACUUUGAUUCUGGAGCCAUAGGACCUGGAUCGCCCUGAAAUGACACCAUUUUCUAUUAGUCAAUACAUGCUACAAAUAUAGUUGUUACGUAUGAAAAUGUGUUUGCAUACUUUGAACCACAUAGUCCUGCCAUUGUGGUCGCGUACAGACUUCAUUCCAUCCACAUAGUAACACUGCAACCAGGCCUCAAAACCUGAGUAGUCUUUCUUCUCUGGAUCGUAACCUUUCCCACCUCCAUAAACAAAAAGUCUAAAUAAGAGGAGCACCUUUGUGUCGUUGUCUUCCCCCCACCCCGAUCAACCUUGAAACAUGGAUUCUUACCUAAGUUCACCACCUCCAGCGGUACUGUGUGGCAAAGUCUGAGCAGGUCUGUAUUCUCCUCUUCCAUUUUGUCCUUUUUGGCUCCCUUAACAUUUUUGGGCAAAAUAAACUGUUAAUAAUCGAGGUAAAAUACUUGUUUGUACUUAUUUGACCUUUUUGCUAUGGAUCUCCUUUUUUACAGCUUUCUUGUCUUCACACGCAUCCUCUGACUCGAGGCCUUCCAGCACAGUCCGGGCAGGCACAAAGGGUGGAAUGUUCAACCUGGAAGACACACAUGGGCAUCUUUCCAAAAACAGAAGGUAUUUUGUGUGGAAACAGUGCUACACUUUUAUAGUAAACACAUUUCCAAGUGAAAUUAGGAAUUGCUUGUUUAUUCAUCCAAGAUGAUUAGAAUCUGGGGAAUACAAAAACAUUCUUCACUCUCCUUUUCAGAUCACGGUGACCUGAGUAUGUAUCUUCAUUCAAUGGUCAUUUCUUUUACAGCAGGCUCUUUGGUGAAGUGUAAUAUUAUUGCUAGGAGUCUUGCAAAAGUACUUCACACAGUGGGCACGGCUGUAACAAAAUAACACUGCAAUGUACUGUCAACAUGUACAAAACCCCAAACCAGUGAAGUAGCACGUUGUGUAAAUGGUAAAUAAAAACAGAAUACAAUGAUUUGUAAAUCCUUUUUAACUUAUAUUCAAUUGAAUAGACUGCAAAGACAAGAUAUUUGAUGUUGGAUCUGAGAAACUUUUUUUUUUGCAAAUAUUAGCUCAUUUUGGAAUUUGAUGGCUGCAACAUGCUUAAAAAAAGCUGGCACGAGUGUCAAAAAAGACCGAAAAAGUUGAGGAAUGCUCAUCAAACACUUGUUUCCCAUAGCAAAGCAAAAUUGAAGAUGAGAUCUCAUGUAUGUCUUAUAUAUAUCUCCUAGACAUAAAAGAGCACUAAUGGAGACCAAAGUAGUUUUCUCCUUCUUCUCAAAUGUAUCUCCUGAGAAAUAAGGCUCACAGUGAGCACUAUGAGAGAUCUCAUAGUUGUCUAAUAGUUAUCUCUUUUCCCCAUUUCAACUAAGACCAAAAUGAGAGAUGAAUGAGCUGGUCUCCAAUAUGUCUCAAUUAUGACUCAGUGAGAGAAACACCUGGUUUUGUUUCUCACUACUCACUGUUUGAGUUCUCAGAUGUCUCUUUUCUAUUUCGGCAAAAAGACAAUUGAUGAGUAUUGGUUUCAAUAUGUCUCAAUGAUGUCUCAGUGAGAGAUAUACUUGGUUUUGUCUCUCACUGCUCACUAUUUGAGUUGUUAGAUAUAC